rnacentral:lncRNA from 1 species
AGCGAAACAUCUUUGACGUUCAGCGUGUAAGGAUGCCAAAUUGUUACUUAAAGAAAAGGUCGUGAAAGAACCAAGCGCAUCUAUAAAAACCAUUGAAACAGCAUUAAACAAUACCAGAUUUAAAUCCAAAAUUUCGCAUGCAUUUAUAAAUUCUACUGCGGAUAAGACAUCACGAAUAGAAAUCACAUCAGUAUACAAGUAUUCAUUCGCAUGCCAUUUCGCAUAUUCAACCAAAGGGCGAGCUAACUCGAUUUUGUUGUUAUGAAGUUUGCCUUCGACAAUUUUAAGAAUGUCCUCUGUAUCGACCAUCGGUGGAACCCAAAUUUCGGUAAACCGAUUCCGCAACGCUGGCGAAAGUUCCUUCUUACCGUAAUCACCACCAGGAUUCAUAGUAGCAAAAAAUGCAAAUCCAUCUUUGGCAGUAAGAGAUACGGCAGCAUUACUGUGUUCCACUAAAGUAAGAGUACGAGAUAAUUCAAGAACACUAUUCAAUCUCUCCAAAACGGAAUCAUCGGCGAGACUAAUCUCAUCAAGUAAAAAAAAGUCGCCUUGCUUCAUCGCGGUAACCAAAGCACCGUCAUGCCAUUCAAACAGAGAGCGGUACUUGAUAAUCUGGCGUUCGAUCAGAUUAGAUAAAUUGUCGUUCUUUUCAGAAGAAGAAAGUUUUUCAAAUUUCUCAAUGAGAUCGUCAAUAGAAUCCAGACUUUCUUGUACGUUAAAUUUUUCACAUAAUUGUGAAUGAAGACUGUAAUUUACAGCGGAACGAUUCCUUACAGGCCUUUGAGCACCAAUUAUGUCUCCAUUUUCCGUAUCUUGAUGAGCAUUAAUAAUAUGCAACUCUUUGUGCAAACACUCAGCUAGAAUCUGACAAACAGUUGUUUUACCACAACCGGUAUCUCCAACUAACAAAACGGGUUCUUUUGCUAGUAAACAGCGCCAUACGAGGCAAAAUAAACGAAUCAUUGGACGUGUCCAAACAACCUUAGAUAAAGGACCCUCUUUUAAACUCAUAUCCUGGAAGAUCUCCAUAGAGUCAAGGUUAUAAAUACCAUCAGUGUCAAUUUUUACCUUCAUAACUUUUUCGAUUACUUCUUGCACGGCCAGUUUGUCCUUUUGGUCUCUCGCGCGUUCAGCCAAAAGCAUAUAACCAUUUUCUGCUAACUGUUGGUAGCCGACAGCUUCGCGAAACGCCCAUCUAAAUAAAUCUCUCAAAGUAGCAAAAGAAUUUUUUUGCUCAAAAAUUCGGGUGGUUUGUCUUCGAAGAGAUAGCUCGCGGAAUACUUGUACAAUCUUUGCAGCAUAUGAAGGGGCUAUUUUACACCGCUUAUGAAGAAUCGUCUCCAGUUCAUUUUCAGGAAUGUCAUCAAAAUGAAUUUCUAAGAAUCUAUUGCGGAAUGCUCGAGAAAGAUGUUUACGACCAGCAUAAACACCAGGAGGAUUCUGUGUUGCAAAAAGCAUAAACUCAGGAUGUGGUUUAACCAAAACUUGUGUUUCGGGUAUAAAAAGCUCACGAUUAUCAUCUAAAAGUCUAUUCAAAGCUUCUAAAACGUCGGUAGGGGCCAGAUUGAGUUCGUCUAAUACAAUCCAAUAUCCAUUUCGUAAAGCUUCCACCAAAACGCCUUCCCUAAAGCUCAAUGACCCGUUAUCAUCAGUAACGUAGGUGCCAAUAUAUUCCUGUAGAUCAGUGUGUUCGUGAUUGUUUAUUCGAACAAACUUAUGUCCAGUCUUUUUAGCUACAUAUUCAAUCAUACUUGUUUUGCCACUAGAAGUUGGUCCUUGGAUUAAAAUUGGAAACAUCCUAGUAGAACAAGCUCUAGCUAUGUUUAAUAAAUUUUUUUGCACAAAUGGUGUUAUGAUAUAAUGCUCUUGUUCCUCUACGGGGAAAGACCCACGUCUCAACCAGUAAUGGCAAAAAGCAAUAUAACUAGAAU